AAGAUUUGGGGCUUUUAGAGAUAAACAUGAAUGGUAGAGAAGAUGGAGAUGUUAGAAGCACUUUCUGCUCUCCAUCAAAGUUGGAAAAAAAAAAAUCUCCAUUUUUUGAUCUUACUGUUGAGCACACACUUUUUAUAUUUUUGGCUUAGUAUUGCCAAGAUGGGAUCCUGGGGUACAUUCAAGCUUGCAUUAUCACAUUGAGCAUGGGUGAAAUGAAAGUAGUUUAUGAUGGAGGUUUUAUGUGAAUGGGUGCUUUUUGCCUAGUACAGUGCUUGGUGCCCUGGUGUUUGAUUAUGGAAUCAGGAGCUUAAUUAUGGAAUAGAUUGAUCAUAUCCUGAGAAAGCAGUGUAGUUUGUUGAUGGAGAGCUUGGGCUCUGAGCCAGAGUACUUAAGUCUGCAUCUUGAUUUACCACUAACUCUGUAGCGUGUAGCUUAGGGCAAGUCACCUUUCUGUGUCUUAGUUUUCACAUCUGUAAAAUGAACCUAAAGUACCCACUUUGUGGGGGUGCUAAUUAACAUUAAGUAGGCUAAUAGAAGAGAGCUUUGUGUGGUAGACACUCAUAAAUGCCAGCCAUUAUAAUCAUCUCAGAGGGCACAGCAACUGCUUGAUACCCAAAAGGCAGUUAGCACCAACUAAAAUACAUCGAGACUAGUUGUGGGAACAUAUUACCUCUGCCACUGCACAGGGACAAAAAAGUCUCAUCCUCUGGAAGUUAAUUGUAGGGCACAGAAAUAAAGUGGGCUACUCCAAAAUCUAGUAAGUGGGUAGAUAGCACACCUUCCAUUAUAAGCUCAGCUUCAACUAAGCAAUGACAUUUAGCCACACAGGCCCAGAUAAAAGUCUUUUGAAAUUUUGAUUUUACUUAGAUUUACAACCUGACUCUAGACCUGACUUGGGAAAAGAUGGUUUCUGUAUCUUUAAGAAAUAGAUACAAGGAAGGAACUCUCUUCAUAAUGAAGCCUCCCAUGGCUUCCCCUGAAGACCUUUGAGAUACAACUUUAGUAGGGCAAGGUUUGCAGAGCUUCUCAGUACAAGCUUCCAAGGCCAGGAUGGAGAGACAUUGUCAGGAUGGGACUUCUACUGAUGACUUUCUCAACUGAGAAAUUGGGGGAGGAAGUGUCUGAAUAAAGUGAUCACUCUUUGUUCCCUUCUCAUUAGUGUCUGUUGCAAUCCUUUUCUGCAUCCUGAACUUCACUGGAAUGUGCUUUUUAACCUGAUUCAGUCAGAAAUGUGUAACUACUCC
rnacentral:lncRNA from 1 species